rnacentral:rRNA from 1 species
GACGAACGCUGGCGGCGUGCUUAACACAUGCAAGUCGAACGGAAAGGCCUGCUUUCCCUUGUGGAUUGCGGGUACUCGAGUGGCGAACGGGUGAGUAACACGUGAGUGAUCUGCCCCCAACUUGGGUAUAAGCCUGGGAAACUGGGUCUAAUUCCCGAUAGGACUGCAGGGUGGUGCCUGUGGUGGAAAACGAUUUUCUAGUGGUUGGGGAUGAGCUCGCGGCCUAUCAGCUUGUUGGUGGGGUAAUGGCCUACCAAGGCGGCGACGGGUAGCCGGCCUGAGAGGGUGGACGGCCACAUUGGGACUGAGAUACGGCCCAGACUCCUACGGGAGGCAGCAGUGGGGAAGAUUGCACAAUGGGCGGAAGCCUGAUGCAGCGACGCCGCGUGGGGAUGACGGCCUUCGGGUUGUAAACUCCUUUCGACCGCGAGGAAGCCACCUGGUUGGAAGGGUGGUGACGGUAGUGGUAGAAGAAGCACCGGCUAACUACGUG